UUUGGAUUGAUUUUUUUAACUAAAACUAAACUAUGGUCACCCCCAGUUUGCCAAUGAUUCAAAACCAAGAACAACGGUUAAGAUUUGGUUAAGAAAGGACAGAGAUAAGGGGCAAAGUUUACAAUAAUGAUAAUCAUAAACAUGAAAAUUCCCACACCACUAAUGCACCACUACCAGUCAAAACACCAUCCUGUUGUCAACAGAAUCACACCCUAGUUAUAAGGUUCUAAAAUGACUACUUACAUAACAAAAAGAGAGGAUGGAAUUAAUUCUGACCUACCACCAAAAUAUCCAGAGAGAUAGUGACUUAACUGUUGCCAAAGAUGUCUUUCAGGGAACACACCCAAAUUCCAAAUCCCACAGUCCUUGUGUACUCUGAGAUAGCAUGAAAACAUGCACAAAACAGGUUCCCCUUUUCAUGAAACCUUGGUGUGGAACCCUUCCAUCAUUCCAUUCUUAUUUUCAAGAGGUAAAGAAACGGUUCUCCCCUCUGCCUCUGGUGCCAUCACCAACACCAUCGAUCCUCUGCAUAAGCUCAUUAUGACGAACAGAAUCCACAGUGAUUCUAUCAUUCUCAUCAUUUAUACGCACCAGUCCCCCAAGUUCUGCCAAGGAAGCAGCAUAUGGAUGGGUACCAUCGAGAAUUGCAUCUUUGAGCUUUUCUAAAGUGCAUUUUGGCCUCGAGGCUCGUUUAUGAGCAAUGAAAGGCUGAAUAUCCCAUUUCGAUGGAUCUGGAUAAGCUGAUUCAGGCGUCUCUUUCGUUAUGAUAUCAAGCACAACUUCACAACUCUCAGAGAAGUCAAAUGCGCGUCUUGGCCUAGUCACGGAAGGAACAUCAUUUGCAACUUCAUUAUCAGUACCAAAGUAGAGCUCCAAGCAUCUCAAAGCAAUCAUUUCCCUCGUGCUAGUUCCAAAUCCUCAGGCGAUAUUGGAGACGCCUCAACCAAAUCAUAGAUAUCAGAGGGGUCUAAUACGUUGAAGCUUGCUAGGCACUCAAUGACCCAGAGCCAUGCCUGCUUCGAACUCGAGCUAGAAUGGUCAUCCAUAUCCAGAAUGCUUUCUAAAAAUGGCUGCAUCGGUCACAAAACAAAAAAGCUCAAAUUAACAAAGAAUUCCACACAAUAUUUCUUACUUAUACACAAUUAUUACAUCAUAAAGAACGCAUAAGAGAAAAUGUUGGAAUGGAAAGGGGUUUAUUUUUUCUCCCUCGUAAGUCUAUAAAAGAUUGGGCUUUGGGUUCUUAAAUUGAUUCCUUUGAAACGAGGGGGAAAAAAAACCAGAGUGCGCGUGUGUGCGCGCUCAACUUUUUCUUGGCAACCAAACGGGAGAGGAAUGUAAAGAGCGAGAGAGAUUAAUGGCUACAUUUCAAAAAAAUGAAGCACAGAGUGAGAGAGAGAGAGGCACGACAGCGAAUGGGAAUAGGGCUCAUCAAGUUGGAGUUGGCUUUCUGUACGGUUUGAAGUUUGAACUACGUCACGGUGCCUCUUGUAGUUUUCAUAAUCAC
rnacentral:misc_RNA from 1 species